rnacentral:lncRNA from 1 species
UGUAAUUGAUAUGAUAAAGGUUAUAUUAUCAUAGAAAAUAUUUAUGGUAAGAUAGUAGAUAUAUAGAUAAUAUUUAUAUUAACGUGUAUAACGAUGUUAACAUGAUAACAAUAAAAAUAACAGGUGUUACUCUAUUUAUCGAUAACUAUAGUAAAAUCAAACCCAGAAAAAUGUGCCAAUGACGCCGACGAUUCCUUUCUUUUCAUCGAUUAACCUAAUCUAAACUACAAUUGACAAAUUCAGUUUUCAUAUCUGUCUCAGUCCACCACUGUUUGUUCUAACUUCACGACACCAUCCAUUUCUCCCCCGUAAUUACCGCAACAUAUAUUAUCAUCAUCACCACAAUACAACUUUUAGCCAUCACACCUUCUCAGUUCUUCUUUCAUCUUCUUUUUUCUAUACUUACCGCCACCAACAAUGUCAUUGUUAGCAUCAUCACCGGUAAAUCUCAUCAUCGUCAAAUCAGAACCACCAUCAAUUACCAUUAUUUUUUAUCGCAGAAACUUAACCAACCUUCGCAAAAACACAAAACAAAAACUUCAUCUUCAUCAUCGCUAAAUCAAAAGCACUAUUGUCAUAGGUGAACCACACAAAUUAUUGGUUUUGCUUUUCGGUUCUCUGCAGAAAAAAGUCUGAUUUAAUUUUCAUUACUAAAGUUGUGUUCUGGUGUUUGAAGAAGAAAGAAAUAGAAGAAGAGAGAUAAAACAUUGAAUAAAUAAAUCAAGGGUGAUAUUGUAUUUUAUAUAUGGACAGUGAAUGCCAAAUAGUAACGAAGAGAGAGAACUAAUUAUUCAUUCUUCUAUGGUCACAGAUUAUAGAUACCCUAUAUAAUAUAAUAUUAUAUGUGUAUUAGAAAUAAUUAAGAAAGAAGAGAGGAACGUAGAGAGAAGGAGAGAGCAAAUAAAAUCUCUUCUUUCUUCUCUC